rnacentral:rRNA from 1 species
GACGAACCGUGCGAACGUUGUUCGGAAUCACUGGGCUUAAAGGGCGCGUAGGCGGGCUGCCAAGUCAGGGGUGAAAUCCUGCGGCUCAACCGUAGAAGUGCCUUUGAUACUGGUGGCCUUGAGGGAGGUAGGGGCGUGCGGAACUUCCGGUGGAGCGGUGAAAUGCGUAGAGAUCGGAAGGAACACCAACGGCGAAGGCACUCUGCUGGGCCGACACUGACACUGAGAGACGAAAGCUAGGGGAGCAAAUGGG